AGAGUUUGAUCAUGGCUCAGGACGAACGCUGGCGGCGCGCCUAACACAUGCAAGUCGAACGAGAGAGAGGGAGCUUGCUUCCUUGAUCGAGUGGCGAACGGGUGAGUAACGCGUGAGGAACCUGCCUCAAAGAGGGGGACAACAGUUGGAAACGACUGCUAAUACCGCAUAAGCCCACGGCUCGGCAUCGAGCAGAGGGAAAAGGAGCAAUCCGCUUUGAGAUGGCCUCGCGUCCGAUUAGCUAGUUGGUGAGGUAACGGCCCACCAAGGCAACGAUCAGUAGCCGGCCUGAGAGGGUGAACGGCCACAUUGGGACUGAGACACGGCCCAAACUCCUACGGGAGGCAGCA
rnacentral:rRNA from 1 species